AGAGAGGCGACGAGGAGUCAAAUGUUGUUCUCUAGUUUUACAGAAAUGUAGAAGAUAGUAUAAUUUAGUACGCAAAUUCAGUAUGUAAAGUUCAGCCAGAGGAUAGUAUUCGGUUCCUCCCGCACAUGCCGGACAAAGACCAUCUUAUCAGCACAGACAUCAACCACCAAUAAACGGCCAACCAAGCAACAAUGCCUCAACAUCGCCUCAACAAUAAAAUGCGAAUUCGAAUCAUCAACGUUUCUCAUGAUAUACCACUUUCAUGAUAUCGGUACACACGAUCGGUAAAAAUGCAUGUCAGUUCGCAUACCACCUGAGAUGCGACAGACAAAGCAUUUCACUGUGCCGAUCGCACACAAUUCAGGACAUGCCUCGAGCAUUUGAGGAAUUUGCCAGAAAUCCGGAACAAGAAAACUCCGAGUGCCAGCAAAACAAAGCCAUUUAUCGAACGCGCUUAAUUAAAUCUUACAUGCCAUGAAGGGCUCUCCUUAACGCUUGUCUGAUUGCCGCCUUUGGCCGCGUCAGCAACCGGUCAGCAAAAUGCCAAUCUUGGCAAUUUGGAAGCUCAAUCGAAGGCGGAGUAGCGCUUGAAUGAUCGCUGGAAGCGGGUCAAACCAAGUUCCAAAGAGGUCCGGCGCAGCAACGGGGACGACUCUUCAAAAGAACUUCGCCGCAAGUCCUCCUCUCCCGGGGCACUAACUCGCUGACACUCCGAGGCGUUGCACCCCAUCGAAGUCAUCCAGCUUGACGUUGGUGCCGACCCAAAGAAGCCGGAACCCUGGUGUGACGUGCUAGGGGAAAUUGGUGACGCGACAGCACGCGGAGACCGCUCCCGUGAGGCGAGGUGGGCCAUAUCCAUGAUGUCCAUAUUCUGAUAGUGCCGAAAUGCAAGGAAUCUGCUUCAAAGUCUUGCCGCUUCAAAGGAAAGGAUCUUUGCAAGUUGAUAAAGAUGACUACCUUCGCAAGCGCUCAAGCUAGAAUUCGCACAGUACGGAUGGAACAAAGGGAGUUUGUGAAUGCUUACUUCUUAAGUUCGUGUCCCAAGAACAACCCUGGAACAGUCACAGUACGACACGAUUGCGAGCUGACGAGUUCAUUAGAAUCCACAAUGCGAUACAACCUUCGCUAAUAUUAUAUCACCUUGAUCGAGCUAGCCAUAGAGGCGAUUCCCACAAGAAAUCUGAGCACGCGGCAGCAGCGAUAUACAGCCGCCAGGUUCAGCCAUAGCUCUGCUGCAGUGUAAGGGGUAGCGAUCAAUGAACUCAAAAACAAGGACACGAAUUCAGCAGCUUAUGAAGUAGUUCCAGCGAACAUCUGUGUCGCCACGCUUGUUGUACUGCCGAAUUGGGUUCGUCAUUCAUCCCACUGACGAAAAAUGGGAAAUCCUUAAGAAUCGCUAUCUAGGCAUGCAGUGCAUAGAGAGAAGAGGUUUGAUGCCUGGCAGUCAAAACUUUGCCUGUUACCCAGUUCGCAGACAUAUGCCUAUUGCUACCUAUCCCACUCAUUUACGCGCGUUGCACCGCGGUCUUCUGUACGGAAUGCCUAAUCACGCGGGUCCUCAUACAUAGAUAAUGGAGAGGUUGCCCGUGCAAAUGCCCAAUUUAUCGCAAUAUCGUGUCGCAAAACAUACAUGGUAAAAUCGCAGUCCGUCCUAAACAUCACCAUGUCAAUAGCUGAGCUUGAUCAAUCCCCAUUUCCUGAGAAAAACGUAAACCCUGCGAGAAUACCGUAUCGACACGCUCCACCGCCGCUGUCGCGAACUAUCUCCGCUGUCGCAUGCCGUCCGCUGCUGCCCGCGCCUCCACCUCCACUUUUGAAGGCGCCUCGCCAGCAACAUCUGCUGCCCCGCACGUUUCCGGCGCCCGGCUGCCGUGCAAGCCGUCCUGCCGCAUCCUGUCCAUGAUGUACUUGAAAAAAGCCAGCUUGUCGGCAUAUGUGUCCUCGCAGGCCGGGAUCUUGCUGUACUUUACCAUCAUCUGCCGUACAUUGUCUGCGUACAACGCCGGAUCAGCCUUCUCAGCCUCCGAUGGCUCAUAUAGGGGCAGCACAUAGCAGGUGACGCGGAAGGAUAACUCCGUCAGCACCAAGAAAAUGUGAAAGUGGCCAGGCAUGCUAUCCCAGGUAGGUGAGAAGCGGCCCGAUGUGUCGUACUUGAGGACCAGCGGCUGCACAGGAACACCAGCGAUGAAUGCGCCGCGCUUAAAGGGCAUGACGUAGAGGUUAUUGGUCGUGGUGCCCUCCGGAAACAGUAGCAUGGGCAGUUCAGUGGACGUGUCCUUGAACUUGCGAAGCAUCCGGUCCCGGACAAGCUGCAAGCAAAGCAAUGGGGAAUGCGUAGUAUAAUGCGACAGUGAAAGCUCUUUCAACCAUUCAGGAAGCUUCACGAAUCAAAAUCUACGCCUCGCUCGCAUGCAAAUAUCAUAGAUUGCCAUUCCCCGCAAAGCAGUCCAUCUGGGGCAUAGGCGUCAGAUCACGAGUGAAGGUGGACACCAAACAACCACUGCACUGCGCCGCUUGUCCAUUACUAGACGACCAUCGGCGACAAAUCCUCUAAUCAUUCCAGCGUUAGCGGUGCAUGUAUUGCAUUUAAUGUCUGAACUAUAAAAUCCCACCAGAGCCCGAUUAACGUGUAGUUAUAAUAAUGCAGAUCCCUAUACCUGUGAAGUGCCCUGACCGCCGCCUUCGCCCUUGUCUCCCAGGGCCGCCAAUCGGGCCUCCCGGUCAACGAACAUGCAUUGCAUGGCUUUGCUGAUUGGACCGAUGAGAGGCAGAGUCGAGACCUCCUUCUUCGCG
rnacentral:lncRNA from 1 species